rnacentral:tRNA from 1 species
UUAUAACUUUUAUUAGAA